GUAGUCUACAUGUCUUUAUGCAUGCAUUGGAGUUCAUCAAUCAUGGACUCCAAUUUAUAGCACCUAACCUUAUUGUCAUUGUCCAACCAUUUGUCAAGUAUACCUUGUUGACUAUAGAUUGGACAGGCUGACGACAUAGGGAUAAUCUAGUCAAGAACAUGACUUAAUUUUUCUAAAACUAAGAAUAAUUCUUAGAUUUUUGAGCCA
rnacentral:lncRNA from 1 species